AUCCAAGCUUCUGCCGGCCCGUUUAGCUUGGAUAAGUGAGACUCUACUGUAUUAUUAUUAGCCGCCCUGAGUCCCCUAUUGGGUGAGAAGGGCGGGGUAGAAAUACUGCAAUGAAUAAAUAAAUAUUAUAUUGUAUUACAUUAUAAUACUAUUAUCAAUAUUAUAUGUAUACACAAUACAUUAUAUUAUUACCA